UACGAAGGGAGCUAGCGUUGUUCGGAAUCACUGGGCGUAAAGCGCACGUAGGCGGAUGUGUCAGUCAGGGGUGAAAUCCCGGAGCUCAACUUCGGAACUGCCUCUGAUACAGCACGUCUUGAGUCCGAUAGAGGUGGGUGGAAUUCCUAGUGUAGAGGUGAAAUUCGUAGAUAUUAGGAAGAACACCGGUGGCGAAGGCGGCCCACUGGAUCGGUACUGACGCUGAGGUGCGAAAGCGUGGGGAGCGAAACAGG
rnacentral:rRNA from 1 species